UAACUACUCCCUCCGUUUCAUAAUACAUGCCUUCCAUUUGUCAAAAUAUAGAUGUAUCUAGAUAUGUUUUAGUAUAUAGAUACAUCCAUUUUUGAUAAAUAGAAGUCAAGUAUUUUGAAACGGAGGGAGUAUGUU
rfam:Triticum aestivum genome assembly, contig: Triticum_aestivum_CS42_TGACv1_scaffold_344350_4DL